AGCGAACGCUGGCGGCAGGCCUAACACAUGCAAGUCGAACGGACCCUUCGGGGUUAGUGGCGGACGGGUGAGUAACACGUGGGAACGUGCCUUUAGGUUCGGAAUAGCUCCUGGAAACGGGUGGUAAUGCCGAAUGUGCCCUUCGGGGAAAGAUUUAUCGCCUUUAGAGCGGCCCGCGUCUGAUUAGCUAGUUGGUGGGGUAAUGGCCCACCAAGGCUACGAUCAGUAGCUGGUCUGAGAGGAUGACCAGCCACAUUGGGACUGAGACACGGCCCAAACUCCUACGGGAGGCAGCAGUGGGGAAUCUUGCGCAAUGGGCGAAAGCCUGACGCAGCCAUGCCGCGUGUAUGAUGAAGGUCUUAGGAUUGUAAAAUACUUUCACCGGUGAAGAUAAUGACUGUAGCCGGAGAAGAAGCCCCGGCUAACUUCGUG
rnacentral:rRNA from 1 species